rnacentral:misc_RNA from 1 species
UCCAUAUUUGACUGGGUAUUUGUAAUCUCUAUCUGAGAAGUCACAUCACCAUUUGAAGUGGCAGACUGGGGGUGAAAAACGGGAGUAAUCUGGUCCUUCUGAUUGAUCGUUCCAGAUAUCGACCCCUUCACAUCCCUCAAACCCCCAUGAACCUUGAAAAAAGAUCCAUAACCACCAGAACUCUGAACUACAUCAGUUGAGCUUGAUCGAGCACCGUCUCGAUUAGGUCUGGACCUGUUCCUUCUAGCAUAUGGGCGAACAAUAGCAGAAUCUUCUGAUUCCUUGGCAUUUUGAGUCCC